UUUAUUUACUCAUGCACUUCUCAUUUUGAGAUCAUAAUUGGCUCCAGGGAAAAUGAAAUGAAGCUUUAUGCUCAGAUUCUAACAUAAGCUUCAGAAAUAAGAGAAAUAAUACUAAAAGAGCUAGUCCCCCUAGGAGGCACAAGACCUCCUUCUUAAAAUCAGUGCAUUCAGUCUCUUCAAUGUGGGAUACUGUCAGGAUACAUCAGGCUAAUGACUACAGCAGGAGAGAGGAAGGAGAAGUGGGGAAGGCAGUGGGAGGAGAAGAGGAGACAGAACCUAUACAGCCUGGAUUUUAAACAACUCCAGUGGUGGUGACACAGAGGCCUAAGACAGCGCUGGGACCAUCAUCUCAUUUUAACAGAGAGGGCAAGGAAGGUGCCUAGGGGUUAAAUGACUUGUCCAAGGUCACAGAUCCAUGGAGACCUCAGGACAGAGACCCAGUGGAAACAAAACUUUUGAUCAAGACACAAGACACCUCAGUCAUCUGACCCUGCCAACAGAGCGGUGAUCUAUAGAUGUGAUUUCCCAUUGAGUGAAGGCAGCUUUACCUUGUUUCUGAAGCUGAUUCCUUGGUUUAGUGGCUUUAUACCACCUCUGCAUUGCAUAGAAAAGGGGAACCCGGACAUGGCAGAAUAAAGAGCUCAAGUGGCUGGGCACGGUGGCUCACCCCUGUAAUGCCAGCACUUUGGGAGGCCGAGGUGGGUGGACUGCCUGAGCCCAGGAGUUCAAGACCAGCCCAGGCAACACAGUGAAAUGCCAUCUUUACAAAAAAUACAAAAAUUCGCCAGGCAGGGUGGUGUGCACAUAUAUUCCCAGCUACUUGGGAAGCUGAGCCUGGGGAGGUGGAGGCUGCAGUGAACCAUAAUUGCACCACUGCACUUCUCCUUGGGUGUCAGAGCGAGACCAUCUCAAAAAGCAAACAAUAAAAAGAGCUCAAACAUGAAAAGUGAGAGAGGCAGGACUCAAAGAAGAGUCUGUCGUGUUACCUGGGGCCUUGCACUCCUGCACUGUGCCUUGAAUUUCUCCCUCUCUGCUGGCUCUAUUUAUAAACAUGCUACAUUUCUAAAAUUCAGGAAGUAAACACUCCUCCUUGAGCUCUUACUUUACCUUCAGGCUACAAUUCUAACCUGCACCUGUUCCCUUAGUCCCAACUUCUUGAAAGCAUAGUCAGUGCUCAUUUAGGUGCAAUGUGCCUGCCACCCAGUGCUGCACAGAAGAUCGGCAUGCACAAUUCUCCUCCACCCACCACCACCAUCACCUCCUUGGUCUAGGAAGCCCUCCUGCCUUUCUUCUCCAUUUACUGAAAUCCUGUUCAUCCUUCAAUGUUCACAGAAAAUGCCACAAUUUCUGAUUUUCCUAGUCAGAAUAUAACUCCUUUCUCAGUAAUCCUGUGCAUUUUUCUCGUACCUGUAAAUUAUGAAAGUACUUAUUUCAUUCUACUUUCUAUUCUAGUGAGUGGUGUUCAUGCCUGUCUCCCCAAGAAAACUGGAAGCCUCUUGAGUUCGGGCCGUACCUUAUUUAUCACUCAAAUGCUCACUGCAUUUAAACCUUCUUUGGUUAGAGUUUAACUGACACCAAUUUAUUCUGGAUCUUCAUAUUAUUGUUUUUAAGAUCUCAGAGAUGCAGUGGAGAUAGGUCUUUAGCUUUGAAGAUCCUACAAGGAUCCCAAACUCCAAACACUCAGAUAACAGACCCCUGAAAUGAAAUAGAUUGAGUCUAGAAUAAGGAAGAAAGGUAAGAGAAAGGUAACAGAAAUUGAACGUAUACAAUCUGCUAUGACAGUAUUUCAUAUUUCAGGCCCCAAAUACUGCCAUGAACCACCUUAGCUUUGUUAAAUUGGUAAACAGGUGAGUAAAAAAUUGAAAUAUGUUAAUAUUGCUGGAAACAGGCCAAUAAACAAAGCUAUUUCAGUGUAAAGGGGAAAAUGCAAUAGCUGAGAGGAAAGAAAGGCAAACAGAAAACAGAAGAGGUAUGGUGGGCGAGACAGUAGGGGAAGAGAGAAGAGGGGUGAAGAAAAGGAUGUCAGAAAAAGUUACAAAGCAUUUAAUCACCACAGACACAGGAGCUAAGUGGUCUGGACAAAAAGACAAAAGAAUAAGGGAAGGACUGCAACAUCUGCACCAUGCAGAAUGACAGCCUUCUGAAGAGGACAGAGUCCAAUGGGAGUGGCGGGAUUCUGGGUGGACGGUGCCACGUCUGUUACCUGCUGAAACAUCUAAACUGACCUGGAUGCUCUUCCCACCCCUCUGCUUCCCCGUCCAACACCUCCAACAUGCUGAGGAGCAGAAUCAGAAACAGAGCCCUGGCAAUGGCUUCAGCUGCACAGCUGGUCAUGCUCUGAAGCCAGGACAGACUGGGCUCAGGAAAGAGGCUGUUCGACUACAGAACAGAUUCUCCCAUUAAUCAGGAAAGCUCAUGGGAGGAAGAAUUGGAGCCAGUCAGCUACUGGUCUGGAUAUGGCUAAUAAUUUCUGUCUUUGGUUUCUGGAGGAACUGUGCCAGGGUUUCUUCCAACUGCACACAGCAAAUAUGACUUUCCUUCUGUAUCUGAAAAACUGGCAGCAAAAACACUGAAAAGAAAUGGGACUAUGGCCAAAAGGAUAAGCUUAAAUGAAAUUAGGCGUAAACUAAAAUCAAAUGACAGGUCAAAAAAUACUAAACCUGUGAUGUCUCUUCCUUUCAGAAGACAAACGCAGUGUUGUAGUAGGAGUUACAUCUUGUUUUCUAAAUUCUGAAUGUGUUUUAUACUUACAGAUACUUUCUGAUAAUCUGUUCACAGCACCUUUAUUGAUUGUUUUCAAUCAAGGAACCGGUCAUUCUAGUCUUAACUUCACAUGCUACCUCUCUCCUCACAAGCUUGCAAUGGCAAUAAAGUUCCCAUUCUUUUA